CCUACGGGAGGCAGCAGUAGGGAAUAUUGCUCAAUGGGGGAAACCCUGAAGCUGCAACGCCGCGUGGAGGAUGAAGGUUUUCGGAUUGUAAACUCCUUUUGUUAGAGAAGAUAAUGACGGUAUCUAACGAAUAAGCACCGGCUAACUCCGUGCCAGCAGCCGCGGUAAUACGGAGGGUGCAAGCGUUACUCGGAAUCACUGGGCGUAAAGAGCGCGUAGGCGGGAUAGCAAGUCAGAUGUGAAAUCCUAUGGCUUAACCAUAGAACUGCAUUUGAAACUGUUAUUCUAGAGUAUGGGAGAGGUAGGUGGAAUUCGUGGUGUAGGGGUAAAAUCCGUAGAGAUCAAGAGGAAUACUCAUUGCGAAGGCGACCUGCUGGAACAUAACUGACGCUGAUGCGCGAAAGCGUGGGGAGCAAACAGGAUUAGAUACCCGAGUAGUC
rnacentral:rRNA from 1 species